rnacentral:lncRNA from 1 species
CUACGAAUAGCAGACUUAUGUGUAUAUAUAAGCAUUGAAAAAAGAAGAUUAAAUAAAAGCUAAAUUAACUAUCGGUUGAUAAUUAAUGCAUGCAAUAAUUAAGGAUAUACAUGCAGCCAAUAGCACGAGCACAAGUUGUUACAUUAGUCACUUAGGCUGGUCACAAUGAAGAGGAACUUAGCAGUAACAUCACACACUCCAAUACAACUUUGCUUAUGUGGCACGUAUUUAGUGAAGAGAGAGGUGCUUGUGGUAACUAGCUAAGUUACCGGAACAUCACACACUUUAAGAAACAAUGAGUCUAUAGCCUAAUAAAUGCAUUGUUGCAUGACACUACAUACAUGUUACUCCCCAUUAUGGAGGUAGGAACAUAGUCUAGGAAAGCGUGUAGGUUCCUACCUUAUGUUACUCUCCAUUGUGACCAGCCUUAUUAAUACCGAUUAAAUUAAAGGCUAAACGCAUAGAAAGUGUAGAUGCACAUUCUAUAUAGGAAAAAUUAUAGUACUAGAUGCACAGUUGUUUACGGAAGAAGGGAGUAGGGGCUAAUUAUGGGGGGAAAAUCAUUCUCCGAAUCUAAUACUGUCGGUCAGUGCAGUGAUCUGGCGGGCAAUUGGUCAAAUGCACGAACAUAACCAUGCCUCGUCAUCUAGGAAGCACCGAUACGGGUACAACGGUAUGUGCUACGAUAAUUUCUAAAAAUAGUAAUAACGCGAUACUGCAAGCAUACAUAAGUAAUCAUAAAAUGACAUGUAUAGAAACUAACAUAAUAAAAUGUAUGAGAUGAAAUUAAAAUACCGCUUCACUGGUUGCCUAAUUGCUUUCAUGAUUCAUUGUUUUUCAUUUUUAAAACCUCAUUAUCAUCAAGGGGUAACACGGUCAUAGACUGUCCCAAUUUAUUUUGAACUGUAAUACCUAUUAACAUGAUUACAUAAAAUCAAUAAAUCUUUUAAAGUUAAGAAUUU